AAAUUAGGUCUUGUUAAAGUAUUUUAUUUACAUUAAAAUUAAGUUGUUAAAAUCAAUAUAAUUUGAA
rnacentral:tRNA from 1 species